UUAAUACUCACUCCGUCCCAUAUUAAGUGACUUUCUAUUACAUGUAUUUAUACGCUUUUUAGGCAUAGAUACAUUCAUAUUUGGACAAAUUUGAGUCACUUGAUAUGGGACGGAGGGAGUAGUGC
rfam:Brachypodium distachyon strain Bd21 chromosome 2, whole genome shotgun sequence.